UACGUAGGGUGCAAGCGUUGUCCGGAAUUAUUGGGCGUAAAGAGCUCGUAGGCGGUCUGUCGCGUCUGCUGUGAAAACUCAGGGCUUAACCCUGAGCUUGCAGUGGGUACGGGCAGACUAGAGUGCGGUAGGGGAGACUGGAAUUCCUGGUGUAGCGGUGAAAUGCGUAGAGAUCCGGAGGAACACCGAAGGCGAAGGCAGUCUCCUGGCAAGUUACUGACGCUCAGGUGCGAAAGCUAGGGGAGCGAACAGG
rnacentral:rRNA from 1 species